AUGUAUCCAACCUCGCUGCUCCCCAUCUUGUUCUCACUGUUCCUACUCCAUCAACGCACGCAUGCUGAGUGUGAACCAGUGACAUGCGGGGAACUUCCCAUCAAGUACCCAUUCUGGCUCGGCGGCCCAAGCUAUCCGUCGAAUUCCUCCUGCGGCCACCCGGCCUUCGAGUUACGGUGCACCGGCAACAGCACCUCCACAACGUGGGCCCUGUGGAAUGCGAGGAACAAAGCCCUCAUCGAAGGAAAGGUGUUCAAGCAGCCCGCCGACCUGGUUUACAAGAUGAUUAUCUUCCUGCAGCUGUGGAAGCCCCUUGGUAGGAGGCAAGACCAGGGCCGCACGGGCGCGCUCAUCGACAGCCUUCGGGCCGGGAAAUAUGCCUCUUGUCUAAAAAAAAACAGCACCUCGACUUCGUUGAGGGCCUCUGGCAUCCACGUCCACGACAUCGACUACGACACCAGCUCCUUCCUUGUGUCCCACGACAGAGUCACCCAUGGCACCGACGCCGUAUGCUGCACCGACUUCAACAUGUCCACCAUCCUAACUCUCGCCCCGUUUGAGAUCAGCCCCACCAACCUGGCCCUGUGCUUCCUCUACGGCUGCAACGGGACGGAGCCGCGUGGGCCUGACUACGUGAACGCCAUAGGCGUGCCCAGCUGCAAUUGGCCCAUCUCCGUGUACCUCGGCGGCAGCUACUACCGGAACAUGCCGCCCGCAAUACCCACCGGAAACUGCAUGUAG
rnacentral:rRNA from 1 species